rnacentral:rRNA from 1 species
UGCCAGCCGCCGCGGUAAUACGGAGGGGGCUAGCGUUGUUCGGAAUUACUGGGCGUAAAGCGCGCGUAGGCGGGCAUUUAAGUCGGGGGUGAAAUCCCAGGGCUCAACCCUGGAACUGCCCUCGAUACUGGGUGCCUAGAGAUUGGGAGAGGUGAGUGGAAUGACGAGUGUAGAGGUGAAAUUCGUAGAUAUUCGGAGGAACACCAGUGGCGAAGGCGGCUUUCUGGACCGAUACUGACGCUGAGACGCGAAAGCGUGGGGAGCAAACAGGAUUAGAUA